GUUGGCCACCCCAGUCUAACCUGCUCUUAAAAGUCUCCAGUGACUGGGCUGUUGAUAAGUAAAUCUUGGGAAACUGAGGAAGUUCCAGAGGACUGAAAGAAAGCCAGUGCUGUGCUGAUAUUUUAAAAUGACAAAUGGAACGAAUGGAGUCAUUUGGCCUCCCAUCAACCCAGGAAAAAAUAAUGGAACAGCAGAGAUGGAUCUAGUAAUAAAGAGGCUGCGUAAUGGAGAGUGGCACCUUAUCCUCAAGAGGGAAGAGGCACUGAUGGUGAGAAUAAAAGAAGAAAUCAACUAGUCCGGAGUUGAAUCCCAUCCAUCUACACACAGAUGGACAGAGUUUUGAGGCGUCCCUUGAUGGCUGAAGGGGAGAGAUGGGGACAGAAGCAGCUCAGCCCUCCAGGCUGUGGAUCUGAUGUUCUUGGAGGGAGAAUUGGGAUCCCUGCAUUAGGGGUUAGUGGCACUAACCCCAAACCUCCAAUGAUGGACCUUAGCUGGGAGGCUGAUUUUGCCAUUCACUCUGCUUGUGCUUUUGUAGCUUUUCAAGAGAUCUCAGCAUCCAACGUGCAGGUCUCUGGAAAACUUGGGCAGAAGAGUGACAAUGGGAGCUGCUGGAUUCUGAGCAAUUCUGAAAAUCUGUCCCAAAGUCCCAGGAGCACCCCACACCAGGUCUGAAGUUCAGCCACGAAAGAAGAACCACCGAGUAGAAAUGUACUGGAAUAGAAAAGGGAGGAACCACAACUUGCCCCAAAGGGUUUUGUGUUUUAUGAGUCCAACAUUGGCCUCUGUUCUAACCUGCCCGGUUUGUUACUGUGACCACACCUCUCAACUCCCAAAGGGCUGCACUUUAAAGGGUAUUUCUCCAAACUGGUGGUGCCUCUCAGCUGAGAGAAGCUUCCGCCCCAUCUCUGUGAAUUUCAAGGCAGGAGCUACCAUGGCUAGGGCUGAAGCUGAAACCACACUGGAUAGUUCAGCUCAGAUCGGGAGGUUAAGAAUCCUCCAGCUCCUGGAAACUCUUUUGCCUUAAUAAAUUUUAAAUCAAUAUGUCAA